CAGUCAUACAAGGAGAAUGGUCUAAUGCCUCCCAUCAGAAAGACCUGUAGAACACACCUGUCUCUCCUCAUACAAGGAGAAUGGUCUAAUGCCUCCCAUCAGAAAGACCUGUAGAACACACCUGUCUCUCCUCAUACAAGGAGAAUGGUCUAAUGCCUCCCAUCAGAAAGACCUGUAGAACACACCUGUCUCUCCUCAUACAAGGAGAAUGGUCUAAUACCUCCCAUCAGAAAGACCUGUAGAACACACCUGUCUCUCCUCAUACAAGGAGAAUGGUCUAAUGCCUCCCAUCAGAAAGACCUGUAGAACACACCUGACUCUCCUCACCUCACUAUCCUCCUGACCCUAUGUAGCCAGGUCCAUCUACUAUCCUUCUGACCCAGGUCCAUCUACUAUCCUUCUGACCCUAUGUAGCCAGGUCCCAUCUACUAUCCUUCUGACCCUAUGUAGCCAGGUCCCAUCUACUAUCCUUCUGACCCAGGUCCCAUCUACUAUCCUUCUGGCCCUAUGUAGCCAGGUCCAUCUACUAUCCUUCUGACCCUAUGUAGCCAGGUCCAUCUACUAUCCUUCUGACUCUAUGUAGCCAGGUCCAUCUACUAUCCUUCUGACCCUAUGUAGCCAGGUCCAUCUACUAUCCUUCUGACCCUAUGUAGCCAGGUCCAUCUACUAUCCUUCUGACCCUAUGUAGCCAGGUCCAUCUACUAUCCUUCUGACCCAGGUCCAUCUACUAUCCUUCUGACCCUAUGUAGCCAGGUCCAUCUACUAUCCUUCUGAUCCUAUGUAGCCAGGUCCAUCUACUAUCCUUCUGACCCUAUGCAGCCAGGUCCAUCUACUAUCCUUCUGACCCUAUGUAGCCAGGUCCAUCUACUAUCCUUCUGAUCCUAUGUAGCCAGGUCCAUCUACUAUCCUUCUGACCCUAUGUAGCCAGGUCCAUCUACUAUCCUUCUGACCCUAUGUAGCCAGGUCCAUCUACUAUCCUUCUGACCCUAUGUAGCCAGGUCCCAUCUACUAUCCUUCUGACCCAGGUCCCAUCUACUAUCCUUCUGACCCUAUGUAGCCAGGUCCAUCUACUAUCCUUCUGACCCUAUGUAGCCAGGUCCAUCUACUAUCCUUCUGACCCUAUGUAGCCAGGUCCCAUCUACUAUCCUUCUGACCCUAUGUAGCCAGGUCCCAUCUACUAUCCUUCUGACCCUAUGUAGCCAGGUCCAUCUACUAUCCUUCUGACCCUAUGUAGCCAGGUCCAUCUACUAUCCUUCUGACCCUAUGUAGCCAGGUCCAUCUACUAUCCUUCUGACCCUAUGUAGCCAGGUCCCAUCUACUAGAACAGGGCUCCGGGCAGCCGAGCGGAAAUGGAGGAAAACUCGCCUCCUGCGGACCUGGCAUCCUUUCACUCCCUCCUCUCUACAUUUUCC